CAAGUACCAAAAACAGUGUCUGGGUCUGAGCUGUGGGUGAGGCUCCAAGUCUUCUCCAGAGAUGCCUUCAUUCUGAGAGUCUUGAGUCCGUGAGUCCACAAAUGAUUCUGUGAUUCUGGAAUUCUAAGAUUCUGUGAAAGGGAGCAGAUACUCAGAUUCUGUGAUUUAAAGCUUUUAUGAAAGUGUUUUGAAGCUCACGAAAGAAGCUCUGACUCCGAGAUCCCAUGUGUGACAGCUGCCAUGGAGGGGACUGCAAGAUCUGAAAAUCCUCCGCCCGAGUGUGGGAAGGAAGGUUCCAGGGCCCUCUCCUCCUGUUUCAGAAUCUGCAGGAGGACGUUGGGCCAAAGAUCUCUAAGCUCCUCUCAUCAUCAAAAUGCAGGGUCCUGGUCACUGACUCUAGAUUCCCCCCUCCCAGGGCUCACCCUAGUCUGCCCCUCCCAGCACCUUCACGUCUGAGUGGGUUAAAUGGGCCCUGAAUCCCCAGGUGACAAAUCCAUGAGCCCAGCUCUCAGCAGAUGCAUCCCAGCUGAACAAGCAGCUGCUGCUAGGGUUGCUGUUUUCCUGUCAUAUUAAUUAUGAGGAGUGAGACUGGUAGGCGGCCUUCGCUGAGAGGAGUUUUCUGGUGCAUCCUUGGGAUGAGCAGCUUGGGAACCAGGAGCCAGGAGCCCCCUGUUGUUUCGAGUCUGUUUAUUCUUCUGAUGGACUCGCCCUGCCCCGCUGUGGAGGUCUUCUCCCGUAUUUCCCCAUUUAAUUGGUUGUAUUCUCAGUGGUCUCUGAGCAACGGUUGUCCUGCCAGGGUCAGUUCGGGUUUCUCUGGAAAAUAAUGAUUCCCUGGCAGGGGAUAAACGGGAGAAUAGGCAAGGAGGGGCUGGAAUUCUGGAGGAAGCCAGAUCUGCACUGGGUCUUCCAGGACAUCCCAGGGUGGCCCCCUCUCCUCUCACCCCAACUUUAGCAGCUCCCGAGCAGGAAGGUUGGAGUCCCAGGGUCACCUGCUGAAGAAAGGAAACCAGAGCCCAGAACCCAGUAGACUUGGUGGGGAAGAGACAAGCCACUCCCAUCUUCGCUCCUCAGGGGCCUCUCCUGAGACAGCCCCCGAGCUGGCCUGGCCUGGGCCCCUGUGAGCUGGUGGGGAGGCUCUGACUGUCACCCCAGGAAAGGUGGGACAGAGGCUUCCACAGGCUGUGCAGACCCAGGCUCAAGGCUCAGAUAGUUCCAGACUUUCCAGGCUGAGGCUCAGGGACCCAGAAGGGCUGUGCGCUGGUGACCAGGACCCAAGAACCACUGCUCCCACCCUCUGCCUGUUUAAUGACAGUCUCUACUCCCACCCUCCAAUUGACUGGGCUCCUUGACAACAGGGACCUUGUCUUCCUUGUUCAGUG
rnacentral:lncRNA from 1 species